UACGUAGGGUGCAAGCGUUGUCCGGAAUUAUUGGGCGUAAAGAGCUCGUAGGCGGUUUGUCGCGUCUGCUGUGAAAACGCGAGGCUCAACCUCGCGCCUGCAGUGGGUACGGGCAGACUAGAGUGCGGUAGGGGAGAUUGGAAUUCCUGGUGUAGCGGUGGAAUGCGCAGAUAUCAGGAGGAACACCGAUGGCGAAGGCAGAUCUCUGGGCCGUGAACUGACGCUGAGGAGCGAAGCGUGGGGAGCGAACAGG
rnacentral:rRNA from 1 species